UACGUAGGGGGCAAGCGUUGUCCGGAAUCAUUGGGCGUAAAGAGCGUGUAGGCGGUCCGGUCAGUCGGUUGUGAAAGUCAAGGGCUCAACCCUUGAAUGCCGGCCGAUACUGCCGGGCUAGAGUCCGGAAGAGGUGAGUGGAAUUCCUGGUGUAGCGGUGAAAUGCGCAGAUAUCAGGAGGAACACCGAUGGCGAAGGCAGCUCACUGGGACGGUACUGACGCUUAGACGCGAAAGCGUGGGGAGCAAACAGG
rnacentral:rRNA from 1 species